UACGUAGGGUGCAAGCGUUGUCCGGAAUUAUUGGGCGUAAAGAGCUCGUAGGCGGUUUGUCGCGUCUGCUGUGAAAACCCGAGGCUCAACCUCGGGCCUGCAGUGGGUACGGGCAGACUAGAGUGCGGUAGGGGAGAUUGGAAUUCCUGGUGUAGCGGUGAAAUGCGUAGAUAUCGGGAGGAACACCGGUGGCGAAGGCGGCCCCCUGGUUGGAUACUGACGCUGAGACGCGAAAGCGUGGGGAGCAAACAGG
rnacentral:rRNA from 1 species